rnacentral:rRNA from 1 species
UUGACCUCGGAUCAGGCAGGGAUACCCGCUGAACUUAAGCAUAUCAAUAAGCGGAGGAAAAGAAACCAACAGGGAUUGCCUCAGUAACGGCGAGUGGAGUGGCAACAGCUCAAAUUUGAAAUCUGGCUCUUUUAGGGUCCGAGUUGUAAUUUGUAGAGGAUGCUUCGGCGUCGGCUCCGGUCUAAGUUCCUUGGAACAGGACGUCAUAGAGGGUGAGAAUCCCGUAUGUGAUCGGUUGCCCUUGCCAUGUGAAGCUCCUUCGACGAGUCGAGUUGUUUGGGAAUGCAGCUCUAAAUGGGAGGUAAAUUUCUUCUAAAGCUAAAUACUGGCCAGAGACCGAUAGCGCACAAGUAGAGUGAUCGAAAGAUGAAAAGCACUUUGGAAAGAGAGUCAAAAAGUACGUGAAAUUGUUGAAAGGGAAGCGCUUGCAACCAGACCUGCCUGCAGUUGCUCAUCCGGGCUUUUGCCCGGUGCACCCUUCUGCUGUCAGGCCAGCAUCAGUUCGGGCGGUCGGAUAAAGGCUUCGGGAAUGUAGCUCCUCUCGAGGAGUGUUAUAGCCCGUUGCGAAAUGCGGCCAGCCUGAACUGAGGUCCGCGCUUCGGCUAGGAUGCUGGCGUAAUGGUUGUAAGCGGCCCGUCUUGAAACACGGACC